rnacentral:rRNA from 1 species
CCUACGGGAGGCAGCAGUGGGGAAUAUUGCACAAUGGGGGAAACCCUGAUGCAGCGACGCCGCGUGAGCGAUGAAGUAUUUCGGUAUGUAAAGCUCUAUCAGCAGGGAAGAAGAUGACGGUACCUGCCUAAGAAGCCCCGGCUAACGACGUGCCAUCAGCCGCGGUAAUACGUAGGGGGCAAGCGUUAUCCGGAUUUACUGGGUGGAAGGGGAGCGUAGACGGCGAUGCAAGCCAGAUGUGAAAGCCCGGGGCGCAACCCCGGGACUGCAUUUGGAAAUGUGGGGCUGGAGUGUCGGAGAGGCAGGCGGAAUUCCUAGUGUAGCGGUGAAAUGCGUAGAUAUUAGGAGGAACACCAGUGGCGAAGGCGGCCUGCUGGACGAUGACUGACGUUGAGGCUCGAAAGCGUGGGGAGCAAACAGGAUUAGAUACCCGUGUAGUC